rnacentral:rRNA from 1 species
AACGAACGCUGGCGGCAGGCCUAACACAUGCAAGUCGAGCGGGGACUUCGGUCCUAUCGGCGGACGGGUGAGUACCGCGUGGGAACGUGCCCUUUGCUUCGGAAUAGCCCUGGGAAACUGGGAGUAAUACCGGUUGAGCCCUUUGGGGGUAAGAUUUAUCGGGGAAGGAUCGGCCCGCGUUGGAUUCGGUAGUUGGUGGGGUAAUGGCCUACCAAGCCGAGGAUCCAUAGCUGGUUUGGGAGGAUGAUCAGCCACAAUGGGGAUGAGACACGGCCCAGAAUCCGACGGGAGGGAGCAGUGGGGUACCUUAGACAAGGGGGGAAACCCUGAUCAAGCCACGCGGGGGGAGCGAUGAAGGGCGUAGGGUUGUAAAGCUCUUUCAGCUGGGAAGAUAAUGACGGUACCAGCAGAAGAAGCCCCGGCUAACUCCGUG